rnacentral:rRNA from 1 species
UGGUGGAGUGAUUUGUCUGGUUAAUUCCGUUAACGAACGAGACCUCGACCUGCUAAAUAGUUCGGCGAAGGCUUCGGCCUUCGUUCGUGGCUUCUUAGAGGGACUAUCGGUGCGUAGCCGAAGGAAGUUCGAGGCAAUAACA